AGCCGAUGCGGUGGCAAAAGCCACAGCGCAGAGCGCCAAGACAAAAAGUGCACUUCUCUGUGGAAGAGCGAAACAGAAAUAAAUCGAGUUAAUACAGCAAAAGAA